CUAGUUUGGUGUGCCCAAAAGACCCGUGCCCCAAACUUUUGUUUCACACCAUAUUCCCCUCCUUAUUAGCAUGUAAGAAAGAAAUAAAAACCCCCUCUUCACCAUGUAAAAUAUGGGAGAGAUCUGGUUUUGUUUGGGCGGCACAAAGAGGUUAGAGUCCAAGGCCCUUUGGACUCUAUCUCCUACUCAAAUUAGACUUCAUCCUUUGCCUAUAAAUAACCACCACCUUAGGAUGGC
rnacentral:lncRNA from 1 species